rnacentral:rRNA from 1 species
AUUGAACGCUGGCGGCAGGCCUAACACAUGCAAGUAGAACGAGUGGCGGACGGGUGAGUAAUGUCUGGGAAACUGCCCGAUGGAGGGGGAUAACUACUGGAAACUGUAGCUAAUACCGCAUACCCUCGGAUGUGCCCAGAUGGGAUUACCUGGUAGGUGGGGUAACGGCUCACCUAGGCGACGAUCCCUAGCUGGUCUGAGAGGAUGACCAGCCACACUGGAACUGGGACACGGUCCAGACUCCUACGGGAGGCAGAAGUGGGGAAUAUUGCACAAUGGGCGCAAGCCUGAUGCAGCCAUGCCGCGUGUAUGAAGAAGGCCUUCGGGUUGUAAAGUACUUUCAGCGGGGAGGCGUUACUCGCAGAAGAAGCACCGGCUAACUCCGUGCCAGCAGCCGCGGUAAUUC